rnacentral:rRNA from 1 species
GACGAACGCUGGCGGCGUGCUUAACACAUGCAAGUCGAACGGAAAGGCCCUGCUUUUGUGGGGUGCUCGAGUGGCGAACGGGUGAGUAACACGUGAGUAACCUGCCCUUGACUUUGGGAUAACUUCAGGAAACUGGGGUUAAUACCGGAUAGGAGCUCCUGCUGCAUGGUGGGGGUCGGAAAGUUUCGGCGGUUGGGGAUGGACUCGCGGCUUAUCAGCUUGUUGGUGGGGUAGUGGCUUACCAAGGCUUUGACGGGUAGCCGGCCUGAGAGGGUGACCGGCCACAUUGGGACUGAGAUACGGCCCAGACUCCUACGGGAGGCAGCAGUGGGGAAUAUUGCACAAUGGGCGGAAGCCUGAUGCAGCAACGCCGCGUGCGGGAUGACGGCCUUCGGGUUGUAAACCGCUUUCGCCUGUGACGAAGCGUGAGUGACGGUAAUGGGUAAAGAAGCACCGGCUAACUACGUG